rnacentral:rRNA from 1 species
UACGUAGGGUGCAAGCGUUGUCCGGAAUUAUUGGGCGUAAAGAGCUCGUAGGCGGUCUGUCGCGUCUGCUGUGAAACUCAAGGGCUUAACCCUGAGCUUGCAGUGGGGUACGGGCAGACUAGAGUGCGGUAGGGGAGACUGGAAUUCCUGGUGUAGCGGUGAAAUGCGCAGAUAUCAGGAGGAACACCGGUGGCGAAGGCGGGUCUCUGGGCCGUAACUGACGCUGGAGGAGCGAAAGCAUGGGGAGCGAACAGG